GGAGUUAGCCGGUGCUUCUUCUGUGAGUGAUGUCCUUCCUGCCGGUUAUUGACCCGCAGGCCUUCUUCCUCACUGAAAGUGCUUUACAACCCGAAGGCCUUCUUCACACACGCGGCAUGGCUGGAUCAGGGUUGCCCCCAUUGUCCAAUAUUCCCCACUGCUGCCUCCCGUAGGAGUCUGGGCCGUGUCUCAGUCCCAGUGUGGCUGAUCAUCCUAUCAGACCAGCUACGGAUCGUCGCCUUGGUGAGCCGUUACCUCACCAACCAGCUAAUCCGACAUAGGCUCAUCCGAUAGCGCGAGGCCCGAAGGUCCCCCGCUUUCCCCCGUAGGGCGUAUGCGGUAUUAGCCUGGGUUUCCCCAGGUUAUCCCCCACUACCGGGCAGAUUCCUAUGCAUUACUCACCCGUCCGCCGCUCGCCACCAGGGAGCAAGCUCCCCGUGCUGCCGCUCGACUUGCAUGUGUUAGGCCUGCCGCCAGCGUUCAAUCUGAACCAAGAUCAAAUUCUGA
rnacentral:rRNA from 1 species